rnacentral:rRNA from 1 species
GAUGAACGCUGGCGGCGUGCCUAAUACAUGCAAGUCGAGCGAACAGACGAGGAGCUUGCUCCUCUGACGUUAGCGGCGGACGGGUGAGUAACACGUGGAUAACCUACCUAUAAGACUGGGAUAACUUCGGGAAACCGGAGCUAAUACCGGAUAAUAUAUUGAACCGCAUGGUUCAAUAGUGAAAGACGGUUUUGCUGUCACUUAUAGAUGGAUCCGCGCCGCAUUAGCUAGUUGGUAAGGUAACGGCUUACCAAGGCAACGAUGCGUAGCCGACCUGAGAGGGUGAUCGGCCACACUGGAACUGAGACACGGUCCAGACUCCUACGGGAGGCAGCAGUAGGGAAUCUUCCGCAAUGGGCGAAAGCCUGACGGAGCAACGCCGCGUGAGUGAUGAAGGUCUUCGGAUUGUAAAACUCUGUUAUUAGGGAAGAACAAAUGUGUAAGUAACUAUGCACGUCUUGACGGUACCUAAUCAGAAAGCCACGGCUAACUACGUGCCAGCAGCCGCGGUAAUACGUAGGUGGCAAGCGUUAUCCGGAAUUAUUGGGCGUAAAGCGCGCGUAGGCGGUUUUUUAAGUCUGAUGUGAAAGCCCACGGCUCAACCGUGGAGGGUCAUUGGAAACUGGAAAACUUGAGUGCAGAAGAGGAAAGUGGAAUUCCAUGUGUAGCGGUGAAAUGCGCAGAGAUAUGGAGGAACACCAGUGGCGAAGGCGACUUUCCGGUCUGUAACUGACGCUGAUGUGCGAAAGCGUGGGGAUCAAACAGG